UGAGUAACGCGUAUGCAACUUGCCUAUCAGAGGGGGAUAACCCGGCGAAAGUCGGACUAAUACCGCAUGAAGCAGGGAUCCCGCAUGGGAAUAUUUGCUAAAGAUUCAUCGCUGAUAGAUAGGCAUGCGUUCCAUUAGGCAGUUGGCGGGGUAACGGCCCACCUAGUCUUCGAUGGAUAGGGGUUCUGAGAGGAAGGUCCCCCACAUUGGAACUGAGACACGGUCCAA
rnacentral:rRNA from 1 species